GGAGAGGUCGCAUAGCGGACUAGUGCAGCAGUUUUGAAAACUGCCGUGACAGCAAUGUUACCGUGGGUUCGAAUCCCACCCUCUCCG
rnacentral:tRNA from 1 species